CUAAACAUGCAGUCGAACGGUGAGCACGGAGCUUGCUCUGUGGGAUCAGUGGCGAACGGGUGAGUAACACGUGAGCAACCUGCCCCUGACUCUGGGAUAAGCGCUGGAAACGGCGUCUAAUACUGGAUAUGUGACGUGACCGCAUGGUCUGCGUCUGGAAAGAAUUUCGGUUGGGGAUGGGCUCGCGGCCUAUCAGCUUGUUGGUGAGGUAAUGGCUCACCAAGGCGUCGACGGGUAGCCGGCCUGAGAGGGUGACCGGCCACACUGGGACUGAGACACGGCCCAAACUCCUACGGGAGGCAGCAGUGGGGAAUAUUGCACAAUGGGCGCAAGCCUGAUGCAGCAACGCCGCGUGAGGGACGACGGCCUUCGGGUUGUAAACCUCUUUUAGCAGGGAAGAAGCGAAAGUGACGGUACCUGCAGAAAAAGCGCCGGCUAACUACGUGCCAGCAGCCGCGGUAAUACGUAGGGCGCAAGCGUUAUCCGGAAUUAUUGGGCGUAAAGAGCUCGUAGGCGGUUUGUCGCGUCUGCUGUGAAAUCCGGAGGCUCAACCUCCGGCCUGCAGUGGGUACGGGCAGACUAGAGUGCGGUAGGGGAGAUUGGAAUUCCUGGUGUAGCGGUGGAAUGCGCAGAUAUCAUGAGGAACACCGAUGGCGAAGGCAGAUCUCUGGGCCGUAACUGACGCUGAGGAGCGAAAGGGUGGGGAGCAAACAGGCUUAGAUACCCUGGUAGUCCACCCCGUAAACGUUGGGAACUAGUUGUGGGGUCCAUUCCACGGAUUCCGUGACGCAGCUAACGCAUUAAGUUCCCCGCCUGGGGAGUACGGCCGCAAGGCUAAAACUCAAAGGAAUUGACGGGGACCCGCACAAGCGGCGGAGCAUGCGGAUUAAUUCGAUGCAACGCGAAGAACCUUACCAA
rnacentral:rRNA from 1 species